UACAGAGGUCUCAAGCGUUGUUCGGAUUCAUUGGGCGUAAAGGGUGCGUAGGCGGCUCGGUAAGUCGGGUGUGAAAUCUUGGAGCUUAACUCCGAAACUGCAUUCGAUACUGCCGUGCUUGAGGACUGGAGAGGAGACUGGAAUUUACGGUGUAGCGGUGAAAUGCGUAGAUAUCGUAAGGAAGACCAGUGGCGAAGGCGGGUCUCUGGACAGUUCCUGACGCUGAGGCACGAAGGCUAGGGGAGCAAACGGG
rnacentral:rRNA from 1 species